AGAGGCGAAUUAAGCGCUAUGACUGACAGCCUUGCCAAUAUCCGAGACUAAUUCUAUUUUUUUUAACCUGCGUUCCACAACGAAAAAAAACCCGUCUAAAACAUAAAGACAUUUUUAUAUGAAGCAUGUUUUGAUUUCAUUCUAUCUGUCAAAGGGUAGUUCUAAACAAAAGAAAUACUGGUGUAGACAAACAGUACAUAUGGGCUUGCAGAUAAUUCUGUUGAAGUCAGAACAAGGACCGGUACAGAGUGAUACAACGUAAUAUAUUGGAGAAGGCAAUUUCUACACAUCUAUUGUAACGUGAAUUUAUGUCUUCCAUAACUUUAACCAUGUGAAUAGCCACCAAUAGAUGUUAUAUUUGCUGUGUUUUCAUGUGAAGAAAGUACUUGUGAUCUUACAAUAAAGAUCUAAAGAAGAGAUUACCGACAUCCCGUAUAGAGGUGCUGUUGUGUUUUGCGCUUUAUAUAUUCGCCUUAUUCUUGAUGAAGGAUUAGACAUGAAAUAAGAUCAAGUGUAAUGAUUUUUGUACUGAAUAUGGAAAAUAGCAUGUGAAGAAACCAUAUGUCUUUAAGGACCAAAGACAUAUCAUAAUGCCAUUUCUCCAGAAAUUCGGUCAGAACGCUAUAUUAGCACUGAUAGUAUGAAAUCAGAAAAAGAGUUAAAUAUCACAUCAUGCUUGACUUGUAUGAUCUAUGAGGAUGUAUACGUACUGAAACUCAUAAUGACAAAGUGCAGGGAUUGCGAUAAUAAUGCACAAACUAUACAGUAUUAAUACUAUAGUUUGAAUUUUGUUUGAGUCUUAAGUUCCUGCAAUAACUUCCAUGAUGAUAAUUAUGAAAAAACAUAAGAAUAAACAUUUGAAAAGCCUAAAUAAUUACGUUUGAUUUGGAAUAACCUUGAACUAAUCAAUAAUCUUGAACUGGAUGAGAGACGCUAACUUACAUCGGUAUGAACUUAAUAAAACAGAUUUCGUUCCUCAGUAAAGACAAAAACAGAAAUGUUCUUUAUCGCAGGGGUGGAUAAUUGAAAGAGAAGAUAUAAAGUUAAUGCAUUGAUUUAAACAUCCAGAUGGCGUUUUACUAGUAAUUAGUCAAUGACAUUCACAACCGUAUAGAUUGAUUGCUGCAUGGUUACUUAUAUCCAACGGCAAAUAUUUCAGAUGAACCUGUUUUUUUCUUGUAAAACAACAGUGGUCUUUAAAGUGUUGAUGUUUUAUAUUGGCAGUGUCUUUUGGUCCACAGAGCCAUACGUAUAUUACAAAAAUGAUAGUACAGUGUACUAGUCAAAAUUACUAUAUCACAGCUAGCCAUGGACUCUUAAUAAACAGAACUAUGGAAAUAUGUAUUUUAUAUGCCAUUGUCUAGCUAAUAUAUAAAGAAGAUUUCAAGUAUACAAUUCGCUUCUUCUCAAACAUUUCUGUAUUAUUUCAAAGAGAGAAGGUAAAAUAAGAACUCCAUUUGUGUCAGUAUCAUAUCAUAUACAUUUGUAUAUUACAUCAGGCAGUAUUUUUCUUGCUGACCACCGUAUUCCUGUUGUAUGGUUGUCAUUGUACUAGUUGACGUUGUUAAGCAUUUUUGCGCCUGUCCCAAGUUAGAAAACGCUGGCCUUUGUAUUCUUGUAUGUUUUUUUUUUAAAUUUUGGUUCAUUCAUAUGUUUCGGAGUUUAGUGUGACGUCCAUUUUCGCAUAAACUAGUAUACAUUAUUGUUUAGUGGCCAGCUGUGUUGAAGACCCAUUAGUGGCCGUGGGCUGUUUUCUGCUCUUUGGUCGGGUGGUUAAUUGUAUCUUUGACACAUUCCCCGUUCUCAAUUUUAUUAAUUCAAUAUUUUAUACUUUUCCUGUUGAAUAGAUAUAUGGCAAGAGACCCAGAUAUAACCAUACAUUAAUGGACAGAAAAACGUGGCAAACCUUUUUCUGAAUAAUAUUGCAGUAUAUCAGAAAUUUGAAAAAAAGAGAGGCGCAAGAUACUAAAAUGAUAUUCAAACUCAUAAGUCUAAAACAAACUGACAAUGCCAUGGCAAAAAAACGACCAAAAGACAAACAGUAUAAAAAACCGAGGGAGAUCUCACGUGCUCCGGAAGGGUAAGAUCCUGCCUCACAUGCGAUACCCGUAACAUGUGCUGUGAUAUAUUUAUAUAGACAUGUAUAUCUGCAUAUGUAAAGCGACAAAUGCUGAUUACACCUCGCCUAUUCCAAUGAAGUGGAAAUUCCAAUCAUUUGAAGUAUAUAUAUAUUUUGCACAGGUCUAGAGAACCAGUCUAUGAAUGUAAACUUAGAUCAUUUUUAGUACUGUCAAACUGAGCAGGAACCUUAAUUUUUCCUCCCACUUCUCCAGCCUAUUACCCUAUUACUAUUUUUAUCGUUGAGUUUCCGGUUAACAGAAAUUCGACUUCAACAACAUUUAUCUUUAGUCGAAAUAAACAUAUUCUUGAAAGGAAAGGAGCAGUUUUUCAUUCGCAGCAUUAAAUUGUGUUGUAUUACUUUCAGGACACUUGCGAUAAAGGACACUUGCGAUAAUUUAAAAAAAAUCAAAUAUAUUAAAUCAAUAAAAUAUAAUUUCUAUUUUUAUAACAGUGUUCUUAUUUGCACCUGUAUUAACGUAUAAACUUAGCAAAGGAUGAUAUAUAAAUAUAUUCCUUAACAAACUAAGACUUCCGAAAUAGCAAAUAUUACAUAAAUGCAAAUGAAAACAACACUUGCGACUCUAUACCCCCAAGUAUAAAAUAAAUAUGCUAUACAUAUACAAAAUGUGUCGUUGUCUCAUUGAUGUAUCUACUUCAUCAUUUUACUCCGGCUGCAAGAGCGAGAAAUUUUUUUUAAGUAACGGGUUCUUUUCAGUCUUUAUCGUGAUAAAAAUAUACAAAUAAAAAAACCAAUAAAUAACAAAUAUUUCAAAAAAUCUAAUGUAAAAAAUCUGUUAUCGACAAAUUAUAUGAACACUUUUCUAUUAUUAACCUCAACAUUUUUACAUGUGAUCUUGGGUUGCUAUAUCAUUAAUGUAUAUAUCUUUUAUUAAUAUAGUAUCCAGAAUAUUACGGGGAAAGAAACGAAGAAACGAAGAAACGGGAAAAAUAAAAAUAAAUUGAGGAUAAAGCGUUUCCGUUUUUCUUUUAAUAAUCAUUAUUUUCUAAGUGCAAUACAUCGAAUAACUUAGAUUGUUCUAGUGAAAAGGAAGUGGCUAAUUUAGGUAUAUGUAUACAAAGUAAAGAGGUUAACGACUUCUUUUUUCUUCUCUCUCUGUUGAACUAAAAGUAUAUAAAAUGUCUGGAGUGAUCCAUUUUUAUCUUAUUAUUCUAAAUAUUUGUCCAUGCGACGUAUAAAAUAAAACCACAAAAUCCUUGGAACUAGUGUAUUCAAUUUGCAUGCCUUGGUUUUAAAUUUUCUCUAUUGCACACAUUCCAAAAUAGAAUUGGUGUGCAACUCUCGAAGCAAUGUGUGUUUGUGUGUUUAUGGUGAUCAGUUUUGCCUAUGCCCAUUUAUAUAAAAGUACAGGUUCCUGCGAGCAUUUUCAUUAUACCUUUUCGAGUUGUCAAUCAUAAAUAUUGUAAUUAUAUCAAAUAAUAUGAAGAUUUUUUAUAGAUAUAUAAACAAUAUAUUAAUAAAAGAUAUUGUUUGUAUCUGCAACUUGAUUGAUAUUCUUGUAAACCCUAUGAUAAGGAAAAUUAAAUAUUCUAUUCUUAUUCUUAAAAACAAUGAUAUCACAUAAUAUAAAUAUUAAAUUUCAUUUCAAAUGUUUUCUGAGCACUUCCUUUUAUUUAACUGAGUUUCUGCACCACAUUUAAUAUAAAAUAAAAUUUAGUCAACGCGCCAUAUCAAACCAACAAGAAAAGUUUAUUUACAAAACUGACUGGUCAUUUAUCACAAUAUGACAUAUAUGCGUUAGUGUUUUUGCUCCAGUACAGUUAUAACACAUUAAACUGCUAGAUCCGGGACAUAACAAAUAAUUACCGCUUAACUGAAAAAAUUAUGCAAACUAAUUUAUUUAAAUGCCGCAAAAUUAAUCAUGAUUACUGUUUUGCUUGUAUCAUCUUUUCACAAAGCUUAACCAAUUUAAGAAGUCGCAUUUUUCCUUGCAGAUUUUAUUUUCCGUUUAAAAAUCUCACGACAAUUAUUUUUUUUUAAUAUAGUUUAGUUAAUUUUUUUUUAUUCUUUUUUUUCUCGCUUUUGGCAUAAUUUCUAUGUGUAAAACAAAUAAUGAAAUUAAAUCAAGGAUAUAUAAAAAAAAUUCAUAUUACUGCUUUAACUUCAACCUAGACAAAUUUGUUUAACAAAUUAGACAACAUCAAAUCCUGCCAUUUAGCAUUAUAAAUAUCUAAAAAAAAAAAAAAAAAUUUAAUCCAUGGUGCAUGCACAUAUACAUCACAUUU